rnacentral:tRNA from 1 species
GCCCCUGUGGUGGAAUUGGUAGACGCGAGCGAUUCAAAAUCGCUUUCCUACGGGAGUGCCGGUUCGAGUCCGGCCAGGGGCA